rnacentral:tRNA from 1 species
GGAGAUGUGGCGGAAUCGGCAGACGCAACGGACUUAAAAUCCGUUGUCCGCAAGGACGUGAGGGUUCAAGUCCCUCCAUCUCCACCA